UACGAGGGGGAGCGAGCGUUUGUUCGGAAUUAUUGGGCGUAAAAGGGGUGCGUAGGCGGUUCCGCAAGUCCUGUGUGAAAUCUUCGGGCUCAACUCGAAGUCUGCAUCGGGAAACUGCGGGGCUUGAGUGUGGGAGAGGUGAGUGGAAUUCCCGGUGUAGCGGUGAAAUGGACGUAGAUAUCGGGAGGAACACCUGUGGCGAAAGCGGCUCACUGGACCAUAACGUGACGCUGAUGCAUGAAAGCUGGGGGAGCAAACAGG
rnacentral:rRNA from 1 species